rnacentral:rRNA from 1 species
AUUGAACGCUGGCGGCAGGCCUAACACAUGCAAGUCGAACGAGUGGCGGACGGGUGAGUAAUGUCUGGGAAACUGCCUGAUGGAGGGGGCUAACUACUGGAAACGGUAGCUAAUACCGCAUACCAUCGGAUGUGCCCAGAUGGGAUUAGCUAGUAGGUGGGGUAAAGGCUCACCUAGGCGACGAUCCCUAGCUGGUCUGCGAGGAUGACAAGCCACACUGGAAAUGAGACACGUUCCAUACUCCUACGGGAGGCAGCAGUGGGGAAUAUUGCACAAUGGGCGAAAGCCGGAUGCAGCCAUGCCGCGUGGAUGAAGAAGGCCGUCGGGUUGUAAAGUACUUUCAGCGGGGAGGCGUUACCCGCAGAAGAAGCACCGGCUAACUCCGUGCCAGCAGCCGCGGUAAUAC